rnacentral:rRNA from 1 species
UCCAGACUCCUACGGGAGGCAGCAGUGAGGAAUAUUGGUCAAUGGUCGGGAGACUGAACCAGCCAAGCCGCGUGAGGGAUGAAGGUACAGAGUAUCGUAAACCUCUUUUGUCAGGGAACAAAGGCGGGGACGUGUCCCCGGAUGAGUGUACCUGAAGAAAAAGCAUCGGCUAACUCCGUGCCAGCAGCCGCGGUAAUACGGAGGAUGCGAGCGUUAUCCGGAUUUAUUGGGUUUAAAGGGUGCGCAGGCGGUCUGUUAAUUCAGCGGUCAAAGCCCGGGGCUCAACCUCGUCGAGCCGUUGAAACUGGGUGCCUUGAGUGGGCGAGAAGUAUGCGGAAUGCGUGGUGUAGCGGUGAAAUGCAUAGAUAUCACGCAGAACUCCGAUUGCGAAGGCAGCAUACCGGCGCCCAACUGACGCUGAAGCACGAAAGCGUGGGUAUCGAACAGGAUUAGAUACCCGUGUA